rnacentral:rRNA from 1 species
UCGAGGAUCUUCCGCAAUGGGCGCAAGCCUGACGGAGCGACGCCGCGUGUGGGAUGAAGGCCUUCGGGUUGUAAACCACUGUAACCUGUUAUGAAAACGGCCGGUGUUAACAGCAUCGGUUGUCGACAAAGGCAGGAGAGUAAGCCACGACUAACUUCGUGCCAGCAGCCGCGGUAAGACGAAGGUGGCGAGCGUUGUUCGGAAUCACUGGGCAUAAAGCGCACGUAGGCGGUGGCGUAAGUCGGGUGUGAAAUCCCUCGGCCUAACCGAGGAACUGCGCCCGAUACUGCGUUGCUUGAGGACCAAAGGGGUGCAUGGAAUUUCCGGUGGAGCGGUGAAAUGCGUUGAUAUCGGAAGGAACGUCGGCGGCGAAAGCGGUGCACUGGUUGGUCUCUGACGCUGAGGUGCGAAAGCCAGGGGAGCAAACGGGGAUUAGAUACCCUAGUAGUCCCUGAGCGGGCUGGCAAGGCG